UGACGCCCGCUGCUGCUGUGGUGGCGACCGAGCGGUUGGGGAGGGGCUGACGAGAGCGGGCGACGGCGCAGUGACAGGCGGCGCGGAGGGUGCCUCCGGGGCGACGAUGGCAGAGGGGCCCGAGGAAGCCCGGAGCCGCCCUCCCGGGCAGGACGGCGGUAGCGAGGACCACGAGCCGGUCCCUUCCGGACCAGGCUCUCCCUCCUCCUCCUCCGCCGCCGCCCCCCGGCCCCCGGCUCUCACGACCGUCGCCUCGGCGGUGCCGGAGCCGGAGCCGCAGUGCGAGCUCCGGAAGCGCCGGGAGACGGGCGCAGAGCCUCAGGAGCCGGGGGGCUGCGAGGCGUCGGACGGGCCGGGGCGGCUGAGCGCGCGCGAGUACUCGCGGCAGGUGCACGAAUGGCUGUGGCAAUCCUACUGCGGCUACCUCACCUGGCACAGCGGCC
rnacentral:lncRNA from 1 species